AUACGGAGGGUCCGAGCGUUAUCCGGAAUCAUUGGGUUUAAAGGGUCCGUAGGCGGGAAUCUAAGUCAGUGGUGAAAUCUUGCAGCUCAACUGUAAAAUUGCCAUUGAUACUGGAUUUCUUGAAUUAGUGUGAAGUGGUUAGAAUGUGUAGUGUAGCUGUGAAAUGCAUAGAUAUUACACAGAAUACCAAUUGCGAAGGCAGAUCACUAACACUAUAUUGACGCUAAGGGACGAAAGCGUGGGGAGCGAACAGGAUUAGAUACCCCAGUAGUCC
rnacentral:rRNA from 1 species